GCGUGUAGGCGGACCUAUAAGUCUAUUCUGAAAGCUCCUGGCUAAACUGGGAGAGGCGAAUGGAGACUGUAGAUCUAGAGUGAGGAAGAGGAAAGUGGAAUUCCGCGUGUAGUGGUGAAAUGCGUAGAGAUGCGGAGGAACACCAGUGGCGAAAGCGACUUUCUGGUCCUUAACUGACGCUGAGGCGCGAAAGCAUGGGGAGCGAACGGGAUUAGAAACCCCGGUAGUCCAUGCCAUAAACGAUGUUCACUAAACGUUCGAUCUCCGCGAGGAGAAUGGGUGUUGAAGCUAACGCAGUAAGUGAACCGCCUGGGGAGUACGGUCGCAAGGCUAAAACUCAAAGGAAUUGACGGGGGACCGCACAAGCAGCGGAGCGUGUGGUUUAAUUCGAGGCUACACGAAGAACCUUACCUAGGUUUGACAUCUUACUGAAGUCUGCGUGAAAGCGUGGAUGUCCCGCAAGGGACAGUAGGACAGGUGCUGCAUGGCUGUCGUCAGCUCGUGCCGUGAGGUGUUCGGUUAAGUCCGCAAACGAGCGCAACCCUCGGUGCCAGUU
rnacentral:rRNA from 1 species